GAGUUUGAUCGUGGCUCAGAUUGAACGCUGGCGGCAUGCCUUACACAUGCAAGUCGAGCGGCAGCAUGAUCUAGCUUGCUAGAUUGAUGGCGAGUGGCGAACGGGUGAGGUAAUACAUCGGGACGUGCCCUGUAGUGGGGGAUAACUAGUCGAAAGAUUAGCUAAUACCGCAUACGACCUGAGGGUGAAAGUGGGGACCGCAAGGCCUCAUGCUAUAGGAGCGGCCGAUGUCUGAUUAGCUAGUUGGUGGGGUAAAGGCCCACCAAGGCGACGAUCAGUAGCUGGUCUGAGAGGACGAUCAGCCACACUGGGACUGAGACACGGCCCAGACUCCUACGGGAGGCAGCAGUGGGGAAUUUUGGACAAUGGGCGAAAGCCUGAUCCAGCAAUGCCGCGUGUGUGAAGAAGGCCUGGUUGUAA
rnacentral:rRNA from 1 species